rnacentral:rRNA from 1 species
AGCAGCCGCGGUAAUUCCAGCUCCAAUAGCGUAUAUUAAAGUUGUUGCAGUUAAAAAGCUCGUAGUUGAAUUUCGGGAUCAAUGGGUUGGUCAUGCCCUCGGUAUGUACUGAUUUCAUUGGUUCUCACCUUCUAAGGAACCAUGAUGUCAUUCGUUUGAUGUUGUGGGGAAUUAGGACUGUUACCUUGAAAAAAUUAGAGUGUUUAAAGCAGGCUAACGCUUGAAUACAUUAGCAUGGAAUAAUGAAAUAGGACAUCCGAUUCUAUUUUGUUGGUUUCUAGGAUCGAUGUAAUGAUUAAUAGGGAUAGUUGGGGGCAUUAGUAUUCAAUUGUCAGAGGUGAAAUUCUUGGAUUUAUUGAAGACUAACUACUGCGAAAGCAUUUGCCAAGGAUGUUUUCAUUAAUCAAGAACGAAAGUUAGGGGAUCGAAGACGAUCAGAUACCGUCGUAGUCUUAACCAUAAACUAUGCCGACUAGGGAUCGGAUGAUGCUUAUUUUUUAAUGACUCAUUCGGCACCUUACG